AGAAAACUGUGCAGUGGAGGCUCCUCCUCGGGUCCAGUACUUUUUUUUUUUUUCUCUCUGAAGAAUUCUGGCCCCAUUUCAGAAUGGAAAACAGAAGCAAUGGCUGGAUCCACUGAAGAUGGUUGCCACUGAACACAUGCAGAAGAGCAAAGAAGAUGCUGUCAACACCUCAUGGAGCAAUGUGGAAGAUUCCAACACAGAGCACAUUGCUGUAAACAGACCCUCCGAGCAACACAAGAGCGGACCGUGUGGGUGUGAAAUCCCGCAACCAUUCCUCCAAGGGGAGAAGGCGACACAGAAAUAGAAUUAAUGACCACACAACCCGCAACAUUUCCUCUGCAGGCAUGCGCAAUCUCAUUCGUCUCUGUUGUGACUGAGAUGUCUGUAAAGGAGGGUCCAGCUCGAGUUGAUUAAAGCAUCCUUGAGCUUCUCACGCUGCCAUUAGACUAAACCCGAUGCUUUUCUUGAAUUUUGUGCUGUUUCUGGGGACAGGGCUCUUGAUUUGGGGCAUGUUUGUGUGCGCAUGUGUGCGUGUGUGCAUGCGUGUGC